rfam:Camelus ferus unplaced genomic scaffold scaffold900, whole genome shotgun sequence.
GAGGGUACAGCUCAGUGAUAGAGUGCGUGGUUAGAAUGCACGAAAUCCUGGGUUCAAUCCCCAGUACCUCCA